UGGCUUCGAGGGACGAAGGAGGCUAGGUUAGCCGAAAGAUGGUUAUCGGUUCAAAGACGCAAGGUGACCUUGCUUUUUCAAGGUAAGAAGGGGUAGAGAAAAUGCCUUGAGCCAAUGUCCAAGUACCAGGCGCUACGGCGCUAAAGUAACCCAUGCCAUACUCCCAGGAAAAGCUCGAACGACCUUUAACAAAAGAGUACUUAUACCCGAAAUUGACACAAGUGGGUAGGUAGAGAAUACCUAGGGGCACGAGAUAACUCUCUCUAA